GAUGAACGCUAGCGGCAGGCUUAACACAUGCAAGUCGAGGGGUAGAAGUUGCUUGCAACUUUGAGACCGGCGCACGGGUGCGUAACGCGUAUGCAACCUACCUUUUACAGAGGGAUAGCCCAGAGAAAUUUGGAUUAAUACCUCAUAGUAUAUAACCUUCGCAUGUUGGUUAUAUUAAAGUUCCAACGGUAAAAGAUGGGCAUGCGUCCUAUUAGCUAGUUGGUGUGGUAACGGCACACCAAGGCGACGAUAGGUAGGGGUCCUGAGAGGGAGAGCCCCCACACUGGUACUGAGACACGGACCAGACUCCUACGGGAGGAAGCAGUGAGGAAUAUUGGACAAUGGGCGCAAGCCUGAUCCAGCCAUGCCGCGUGCAGGAAGAAGCAUCUAUGGUGUGCAAACUGCUUUUGUACAGGAAGAAACACCCCUUCGUGAAGGGACUUGACGGUACUGUAAGAAUAAGGAUCGGCUAACUCCGUGCCAGCCGCCGCCGUAAAAC
rnacentral:rRNA from 1 species